AGCAGCGUGGCUUAGUGGAAAGCGCAUGGGCUUGGGCGUCAGAGGUCGUGGGUUCUAAUCCCAGCUCCGCCA
rnacentral:tRNA from 1 species